CAUAAAAUCUUCAAUCGCACUUUACAAUAGUGAAACGACGAGUCUUUAGAUUCUUCCUCCGCAGAAGAAACAUGGGAUUUUCGUCGAAUUCGAAUCGAGAAGCUCUUAAUCGCAAACAAAGGCGAAAUUGCGCGACGCCGAUGAGCGGAGCUUGCACGUCAAAUUGGGUCAGCUACUUCCAGAACUGGCGAUCAGGUUGUAAGUUGUGCUGAUUGGCUGAUUCUUUGUUUCAAUUUUGAUAUGGAAAGUCAGCUUUGAUAAAGUAACUUGUUAAUUACCAAUUGAUGCUAAGGAAGUGUGGAUGAUGCUCAUUGAAGUUACAUGUUCUAAACUUGAGUGAAAUUUAGAGAUGUUGAGUAAAAUUGGAGUAUCAAUUUCUGUGAAAAAUCAGCUUGGAUUAAGUAACUUGUUAAUCACCAAUCGAUGCUAGGGAAGUGUGGAUGAUGCUCAUUGAGGUUAAAUGAUCUAAAACAUGAGUGAAAUUUAGAAAUGGUGACUAAAUCUGGAUGUAUCAAUUUAUGUGGAAAGUCGGCUAGGAUAAAGUAACUUAAGUGUUGAUGAUGCUCACUGAGGUUAAAGUUAGUGAAAUUUAAAAAUAAUGAGUAAAAGGUGAUAGUAUCUAAAUUUUCAUGGAUAGUCAAUUAGUGUUCACUUUGACGAAAUUAGGGAUACAAAGGUGUUGUAUAUUGCAUAACAUAUUUUGAUGUUGUUUGGCGUUUUUGAGAAACAUUUUGAGUGGGGUGUCUUGUUUGUUAUAGGCUAUCCACCCUGGUUAUGGUUUCUUAUAAGAAAGCUCUGAGUUUGCUCGACUUGUUCAAGACGAGGAAUUACAUUUGUUGGACCUCCGGCAUCUGCAAUUCGUGACAUUGGUGAUAAAAAAGAGCCAUUUAGUUACAAUAUGCUAUCCACUCUGGAUAUGGUUUCUUAUCAGAAAGCUCUGAGUUUGCUCGACUUGUUCAAGGCGAGGGAAAUACAUUUGGUAGACUUCCUGCAUCUGCAAUUCAUGACAUGUGUGAUAAAAGUGAUUCACCUUAAUACAUUUCUGAGUACUUCUUGUGCUUGGGUGUCAUGGCUACGAACAAUAUAUUGAUCUGAUGAAGUUAAAAGCCGACAAGAUUGUAUAUCCUAUAUUGAUAAAGCCAACUCAUGGAGGUGGAGGAACGAUGAUGCUACUUUCUUAUUAUGAUCUCAUUUAUACUAUUAUUGUUGGUGUAAAUGUCAUAGAAGAAAUGCUAAUUCUGUUUUAAAAUUUUAAUCGUAUGAAUGCUUUUUUCAAGACUAGUAGUGUUUAAAAAUUGUUUUAUUUUUCUAAGUAUUUGUAUUCUAGCACGUGCAUGGAACUGAGACACAUUGUGUUUGGGCAUGUUCUAGUGUAUUAAAUUUAAGAACAGUUAGCAAUUAUAGUUAGCAAUAAAA